CGAUUUAGCCAUGCUAGUCGUACGGGUUAGACCCGUGGAAGAUAGUUCAGUACCACUUGGCCAAUCUACCCUGUAGCCCCUGACAUCCUCGGCCUUUUGAGGCCAAUCGGGGAUACAAGUCUCACGCUGGAACCGCCAAGACUCCCAAACGGCCCGCCGCUACAGGAUGAGGCUGCGGCCAAUUAGGUUGACGGGGGGGUAACGGCCCACCGGGCCAAUAAUCGGUACGGGGGGUGAGAGCACGAGCCCGGAGACGGAUUCUGAAACAAGAUUCCGGGCCCUACGGGGCGCAGCAGGCGCGAAACCUUUACACUGCACGCACGUGCAAUAAGGGGACUCCAAGGGCGAGGGCUUAUCGUCCUCGUUUUUGUCGACCGUAAGGUGGUCAACAAAUAAGGGCUGGGCAAGACCGGUGCCAGCCGCCGCGGUAAUACCGGCAGCCCGAGUGAUGGCCGAUCUUAUUGGGCCUAAAGCGUCCGUAGCCGGCCUGGCAGGUCCGUCGGAAAAUCCAGCCGCUCAACGGUUGGGCGACCGGCGAAACCCGCCAGGUUUGGGACCGGAAAACUCGAGGGGUACGUCCGGGGUAGGAGUGAAAUCCCGUAAUCCUGGACGGACCGCCGAUGGCGAAAGCACCUCAAGAGGACGGCUCCGACGGUGAGGAACGAAAGCUGGGGUCU
rnacentral:rRNA from 1 species